UACGGGGGGGGCAAGCGUUGUUCGGAAUUACUGGGCGUAAAGGGCUCGUAGGCGGCCAACUAAGUCAGACGUGAAAUCCCUCGGCUUAACCGGGGAACUGCGUCUGAUACUGGAUGGCUUGAGGUUGGGAGAGGGAUGCGGAAUUCCAGGUGUAGCGGUGAAAUGCGUAGAUAUCUGGAGGAAUACCGGUGGCGAAGGCGGCAUCCUGGACCGACAUUGACGCUGAACGGCGAAAGCUAGGGGAGCAAACGGG
rnacentral:rRNA from 1 species